AUCAAUUUAAUAAUAUGCAAAUAUUACACAAGUUAACAAUUCCAUUUGAGCAACAUUAUAUCAGAAAUACAUUUAUACUAAUGUCAAUUAUAUAACUCAUUAUAUGUAUUGUAUUGCCAAAUUAUACGAUAUCUAUACAUCAGUGAAGCGCUUUGCCUAGCCCGCGGGCGGCCGACUUUAUUGCUCUCUCACAGAUUCGCUCACACGUAUUAGUCAAGCGCUCUCUGUACAUUGUGGAAAAUUAAUGUGCAUUUGAAAAUCACUUGAUCAACGACUGUUGCUUGCUACGCGUGUAAUUUGUAUGUGCGCGCUGAUUAACAAUUUUGGUUCAAAACCAUGAAAAUAUUGGUGUUUAGUUUUUUGAUACAGCCGUUUAGGUGAAAACUUCAACAUAAAUUCAAUAUUUAAAAUUUUUUGAAUUUUAAUUUCUUUUUGACACGUGAAUUGUCUUUAUUUUUGUAAUUGAUAAAAAAUUAAUAAGGAAUUUCAUUAAUUUCACAAUUUUGUAAAAGUUGUCGAAUCAAUUUCAAAUUUUUUUUAUAUUAAUUAAUACUAAAGUUUUGUAUUUUUUUGGGUGUAGCAGCAAACUCUCUCAUACUCCAACACAAGCACACAGUUUGGUAGUGUGCGUUUGGGCAUCACUGCUAUACAUAGAAGUAUUAUUGGGUAUUCGAAAAUUGGCAACAUUUUGUCAAAAGAUGUUGCAGUCGUACAUAUAUUUCCAGUACAACCAAUUUCAUUGUGUCAUACCAUAUAGUGUUUGAAGGCUUCAUAUAACCAAGUUAAAUUCGGGGAAAAUAAUUACAGCUGUUCAAAAAUGAGUGAAAAUAAUGAAGAAAUUCGCUUUAUUUUGAUAUUUUUGUAUAAAAAAGGGAGAAUACAAUGCCACCAAUGAAAUUUUUGAAGUUUACGGAGAUGAUCACAUUGUAUUAACAAUGAAACAUAAUAAUAAAAGAACAUUCACUUCUAAGUGAACUAAAUUAAAAAAUUUUUGUUCUAAUAGGAUAUAGAAUGUUUAACUCGCGCGAGUUCCUCCUGGGGGACCGUUGGUGGUGCUCGCUACCUUCUCAGCUGCUGCACUCGACUUCGACUACAGUGCGUCGCUUCAUGAGACCAUGUCAUUAUCAACCUCUUUGGCAUGCUCCCCAAACAGCGACUGCUCCUCUGACGAGAGGAUAUAAGGAACCUGCAACUACACUGGUUUUAUCGACCUUCUCCUCGACUAUGGUCGUUCUUUACGACCCUUGGCAUAACACGGCGAGCUGUCGGGUCUAUGUUUUUGUAGGGGAACGUGAAGGUCCGCUGCGCCAAAGCCCCAUAACGCGGUAAUGCCACCAUUACUUGCCAAUUCGGCCGGUGUUGGGAAGCUUCUGUUCAGUCGAAUUAACCUCCUGGCUGCAAAUCAUUCAAUGGGCAUGGGAGUUGCAUAACACCCUGGAUUUGGAGGUGGUACUCUUCGUCUCAACCCUCAUGAGUGAUGCCAUGUUGCACCGCUCAUGGCGGAUAUACAUUGCAGUUAAGCUCCUGCACCACAACAAGGUACUUAUAAUUCAGAGAGAAGUAAACAUAGUAUAGUCAACCACGACAUCUACCCAAUGUCCCCGCAUAAGAUAAAAAACAAGUCUUACACCGCGACAUAAGGUUUUUGUACUCUAAGUUUGUAUAUGCUUAGUGCUGCCCGCACUAAGUUUGUAAAUGAAUUUAUUAUUUCUUCAAGACACAAUCAUCUAAUACGAAAAAAAACAAUAAUAUUUCAUUAACAUUCUAGUGCUAACCAGAUAUGGUAUGAAUGAUUAAGAACUGCGAACUAGGGUUAUUUUAAUUCCAUCAGCGCAAUACCUUCCAUGUUGAUAUUUUAGUUCUUGUAGAAAUUGUUUUAUAUACAGUAAAUACAUGUUAAAAAAUAUGUUGGAAUUGUAAUGCAGGUAUAUAUUCUUCCUUACUGGCGUGGAAACCGUUUACGCGGUUAUAAACGAGUUUACAGCAGCGCGUCGCUUCUUCCUUUCGCAAGGUGCCGCAAAUUGGAGAUUCCAAGCGAAGCCACGUUCUUCUCCAUGUGGUCCUUCCAACGAAGUGGAGGUCUACUUCUUCCUCUACUUUUCCCGGCGGGGAACAGUUUCUCCAGUCACUUCAAACCAGAACAAUAAAUGUAUCAGAUUUUUCAAGUGUUUGCUUUUAGUUCAUCAACGCGGAGGCUUUUAAGACAUUAAUAGGUAUGAAUGGCAUAAAUAGUCAAGGCAUUGCGAUGAGUCCGUUGACGGAAUAAAUGUAAAAAGUGAACGAUUUGCCAAUGUCUGAAGGUGAUAAGAAAAAACUUGACGAAUAUAUUGAAGAAAUUUACAAUAAAGUGGGAGAAUUCGCGGGCGAAUUUAACAACAUUGAGUGUGCUGGACUUUGCUACUAAAUAUAAAGUAGCAUUAACGACAGUUGUGUACCAAAUGCUCAUUCGACAUUGCCUUAUUCAAACGUCAUAAUCAUGUUGAAAGCGGUAGCACCUAUACAAUAAAUAUGAUGAAAAAAUUUGCAUAUCUUAAUUGGAUGAAUGUCAGCUGGAGUGUAUCUAAUAGUAUAGCAUUAAUAUUUGCAAAUUUCGGAGAAGAAAUCUCAAGUCAGAUCCAAUCACUGUUAUUAUUAUAUUUAAAUAACUCAAUACUAAUUGUUUUAAAUCAUCUAAUUUAAAAUGUUAUUAUUAGUUUGGCUAAUAUACAUACAUACAUAUGUACAAAUUGUGUGAAUAUUAAGAAAUAGUAAAUUAAUGUAUUUAGUAUUGUAAAUUGUACGUAGUAUAACAAUGUAAACCAAGAAUGAUAGAAUAUAAGAUUA